UCCCUGGUGGCUCAGCUGGUAAAGAAUCUGCUUGCGAUGCAGGAGACCUGGGUUCAAUCCCUGGGUUGGGAA
rnacentral:tRNA from 1 species